GGUAUGAAUGGCUAAACGAGAAAUAGACUUUUUUUGUUAUAAGAAUUGAACUUAAUUUUUUAGUGAAAAAGCUAAAAUUUUUCAGAAAGACGAGAAGACCCUAUAGAGUUUUAUGUUUUAUGGUUAUUUUUCUUAUUUGAUUUAUAUAGAUUAAUAGUUUUUAAACAUUUUGUUGGGGCGACAUUAAGAUAUAAAAAACUCUUUAUUUUUUAAAUUCUAAUAAGAAGCUUUAUUGAUCCUCUAAAAGAGAUCAAAAGAAAAAAUUACCUUAGGGAUAACAGCGUAAUCUUUUUUGAGAGUUCUAAUCGACAAAAAGGUUUGCGACCU
rnacentral:rRNA from 1 species